CUCUACCACCCACCCAGUCAGUCUCCUUCCAGCAGGUGCAGCUGGGAGGUCACCCUGGGCUCCUCUCCACAGGUGGGAAGCAGAACCAUGCUGGGCCCCCUCGCCUUCCUGUGCACCCUCCUGUUUCCUGGCAGCUGGGCAGCGAUCAGCCUGGAGCAGCCCUCUAUGGUCGUGGCGCAGGCAGGCCGCUCAGCCACUCUGUGGUGCAAAGCCAGCACCAAGGUCAGCUACAUCCACUGGUACCACCACCAGGAAGGUGCGGCCCCCAAGAGGCUCCUCAGACUGGACAUGUCCGGAACGUUUGUGCAGAGAGAUGGGGGCCUGAAAGCAGACAAAGUCAAUGCCAAGAGGGGCAAGGGUAGCAACAGCUGUGACCUGUCCGUGCUGAAGCUGGAGAAGAGCGACGAGGGCGUAUACUACUGUGCUGCCUGGGAAGCUCACAGCUGCACACAGUGGGCUGGGUAUGGCUGGGGCCACAAAGUGUUCGGUGCUGGCACACUGCUCAGGGUCACAGCUAAAAGCCCUGAUGAAGACACUUCCCCCAAGCCCACGAUUUUUCUUCCUUCAAAUGCUGAAAGAAAACUCCACAAGGCUGGAACAUAUCUUUGUCUUCUUGAGGAUUUUUUCCCUGAUGUUAUCAAGAUAGAUUGGAAAGAGAAAAAUGGCAGAGUAAUAUUGAAAUCCCAGCAGGGAGACACCAUGAAGAUUAAGGACACAUACAUGAAAUACACCUGGCUGACCGUGAGAGAAGACUCAAUGGGCAAAGAACACAAAUGUAUCGUCAAACACGAGAAGAAUAAAGGAGGGGUUGAUCAAGAGAUUCUUUUUCCUUCAAUAAACACAGCAGAUUUGGUGACGGGAUCCAAAGUGGGCUUCCAGAAGGAAUCAGAGACAAGUAGAAACACAAGGCCAGUAACCGUGAGCCCUUCGAGUACACUGUCUACAUCACCAUUUUCAAGUGCCACGGAGCUCACUGCUGUUAACUCUACAGAAGCUUCUUCGAAAGACGAAAAUGACCCCCUGCAGCUGCAGCUCGUGAACACCUCUGCCUACUGCACCUACCUCCUCCUCCUCGUCAAGAGCCUGGUCUACACCGUCAUCACCGCCAUCUGUCUGCUUGGGAGAGCGGCACUCUGUGACAAUGGGAAGAGUUCCUGACCCGUGGUGGCACAGGGUCCAUGUUUCUCCAUUGACUGUUGUCACUGAAAGUGUCUGCUAUGGGUCUAGCGGGGCUUUCUUUCUGGGUGGUUCAUUUCAGUUCACACGUUGUCUUUUUCUAUGUGUCAUCAUUGCAGAAUGGGUUUGCAAACUCCUGGGCAAACAGGAAAUGUCACUCUGCACCAAGAACAGACUCUGCCAUGAGUCAGGGGUGGGGCCGGGGGCACCACAGGGGCUUCAGCACCGCUCUCUCCUUCACGUCUACCAGCUCGUCAGCCACCCAGCACCCUCGCCUCUGAGUACAGCUCAGAGCGUGCAGCUUCCAUCGCGGCCCCUGGAGCUCUGUAUCCAGAUAACUGCCUGGAGGCCUUUUAUUUUACAUACAUGGAAGCC